CCUACGGGAGGCAGCAGUGAGGAAUAUUGGUCAAUGGGCGUAAGCCUGAACCAGCCAAGUCGCGUGAGGGAUGAAGGUUCUAUGGAUCGUAAACCUCUUUUAUAAGGGAAUAACGUGUGGGACUUGUCCUAGGUUGUAUGUACCUUAUGAAUAAGGAUCGGCUAACUCCUUGCCAGCAGCCGCGGUAAGACGGAGGCUCCUAGCGUUCUCCGGAUUUAUUGGGUUUAAAGGGUGCGUAGGCGGCCUUUUAAGUCAGCGGUGAAAGUCUGUGGCUCAACCAUAGAAGUGUCGUUGAAACAGGGGGGCUGGAGUAGGUGAGAGGCAGGGGGAAUGCGUGGUGUAGCGGUGAAAUGCUUAGAUA
rnacentral:rRNA from 1 species